AGCCGUGGGGGAGGGGAAAGGGCGCGCGGCCUCGGAUGCGCAGACCCUGGGCCGGCGACUCGGGGACCCUGCUCCCUCUUAGCUAAAAAUGACGUCGGCGUUCAGCUCCUCCAACCUCACGUGGACAGGCGAGGGAACCGAGACCCAGAGAGGGCAGGGGACUUUGGCAAACUCACACAGCCCACCGCAGGCAACUGGAACUGAAACCCAGGACUCCGUCUCUUGCCAGUGAAAGUUAUGUUAGGAAGCAGUGAGGGGUCUAAAGCAGUAUGAAAGGCAAAGAGAAAAGGUGAUUGUUCCCUCUUGAAUGGCCCUUGGAAGCUGAGUAUCUGGAUUCACCCUCCCUAGGGAAUUUCCCGAUUGUCUUGCAGGCUUACACACUCAUCAAGAUGACAAAAAUAAUGACAGUAACACUUAUGUGGAACUUGACUUUUUCCCAGGUGCUGCUCUAAGCAUUUACUGUGUUUGUUUUACAGGAAGGAAGACUGUACACAGAGAAUAAAUAACUUGGCCAAGCCAUUCAGCUAGGAAGUUGUAGAUCCUAAAUUAAGAGUUCAAGGUCUUAAUGGCUACUCUAUGCGGCCUCUCAUAGUCUUUUCAAGGGUUUUGGAGAAGAAUAAAAGAUCAGGUAUGGCUUCUCCCUCCCCCAGCUCUCUAUUGUUCCCUAAAGGAUUAUUCAUUCGUUCAUUCAUUCCUACAUCCUCCCAUUUAUUCCAGUCAUCCACAGAUGUUUGAGUGGUUACAAUGUGCCAGCCUCCCUUCUAGGUACUGGAGAUAAAGUGGGACAAGAGAGGUGAGGUCUGGACCCUUGGCACUUUCACGAUAAAAUACACAGGUAAACAUUUGCCUUUAGGGCCCCCUGUGAUUACUUCCACUCUUGCAGAUAAGAGGAUAAGGCCUCUUCAGCUUGUUCACAGCAGCUGAAAAGCAAAGCCUCUCUGUCAGUAGAGGUAAAAGAUUAAGAAUGCAGAGUCCGAUGGGGCAUUACCACAUGAUUAUGAAUUAAUGCAAUUUUCCAUCUUUUAUUUCCAAUCCAGGCAUUGCUUUUGAACUCAGUCAUCUUUUCCCCCUUGCCCACUAGUUGCUUGUGAUACAUCAGUAUCCUCACUCACCCCCAACUCCAGAGGCUGAAACUAACUCUCCUCCUCCCUCUUCCAACUGCUGAGGAAGAUGAGUCAAUGGUGUUACUGGACCCUGUGAACUGAUGCUGUGAAGAGAGGCCAUUUAACACGGACUACGGGGAAUGGUGCCACAGGGGGCUCAGUGCUGCCCUUCACUCUCAGCAUUUUGCUCACUCAGCAUUGAUGACAGGAUGUCCCAAAAGUAACAAAAGAUGGGAGCCAGUCCUCUCAUAGCUGUUUCUUCAAUCAUCCCAUCAACAGCUCUUCAUUUAUUGAACUACCUUCCUUUUCCAAAGAGGUAAUGCUGAGAUCAGUCAGAAAGGCUUUCUGAGAAAACUGGCUUGGAUUUCUGGGUCUGUUGCAGUCAAUUCAAGAUGAACUGGCUUGUAUCAAUGAAGCGCUCAAUGCAGUUCACAAAACAGGCCUCAGCCCGACUGUCCAACUUUGGCCCAGGCUUGUCCAUGCACUUCUCCCAACAAAGUUCAGUCAUCUGGUGCACCAGCUGCUGGAAGCGCUGCUUUUGAGUCUCUACCUCAAUGAAAAUGCUGCAACUGCGGGUCCACUGCACCCAAACCCGCCGCAGAGGAAGAGCAGGAGGAAUCCAUCCCAGGACAACCAUGCUUGCAGAGACGAACUCCGCACCAACCUUCACGUGUCUCCACGACCUAGUUAAUCAAUUUAAAAUGAGGUCACUAGGGUGGGCCCCAAUCCAAUAUGACUGAUAACUUUAUAAAAAGGAGAGAUUUGGAUACAGAAAGAGACAGAGUGAAAACCAUGUGAAGAAACAUAGGAAAAGAUGGCAGCUACAAGCCAAGGAGAAGCUUGCAGUGUGUAUUCAUCUGUUCUCAUGCUGUUAAUAAAGACAUACCUGAGACUGGGUAAUUUAUAAAGGAAA
rnacentral:lncRNA from 1 species